rnacentral:rRNA from 1 species
UACGAAGGGGGCGAGCGUUGUUCGGAAUUACUGGGCGUAAAGGGCGCGUAGGCGGCGAUCCGAGUCAGAUGUGAAAGUCCUGGGCUUAACCUGGGGACUGCAUUUGAUACUGGAUUGCUUGAAUUCGGGAGAGGAUAGCGGAAUUCCCAGUGUAGAGGUGAAAUUCGUAGAUAUCGGAAGGAACGCCGGUGGCGAAAGCGACGUGCUGGACCCUUUCUGACGCUGAGGCGCGAAAGCCAGGGGAGCAAACGGG